rnacentral:misc_RNA from 1 species
UUGAAUUAUCUAGCACAAAGGGGAAAAGACAAAUAAUAAGAAGCAAAUGAGUCCAACUAUCACCAAGAAUUUAAGAUGUACGAGAACCCUAAACUGUAUAAGAUGCAGCAUAAAAAUUUCCAACAAAAAUGACGGGGCUAUUUCAAAAAAAAAGAAUCACUACACCAUAACAUUUCUAAAAGGAAUGCCUUCAUUCCAUAUAUUAAUCGAUUGCAAAAAAGGCUAAAAAAAGGCACGCAAAAGGAUCAUUAAGUAAUCGUGUACCUGUGGAAUAACUAUUGCAAG